UACGUAGGGUGCAAGCGUUAAUCGGAAUUACUGGGCGUAAAGCGUGCGCAGGCGGCUAUGCAAGACAGAUGUGAAAUCCCCCGGGCUCAACCUGGGAACUGCAUUUGUGACUGCAUAGCGUAGAGUACGGGUAGAGGGGGGAUGGAAUUCCGCGUGUAGCAGUGAAAUGCGUAGAUAUGCGGAGGAACACCGAUGGCGAAGGCAAUCCCCCUGGACCUGUA
rnacentral:rRNA from 1 species